UCGAACGUGAAGCAUUGAUUGAAUACUUCGGUAGGAUUUUGGUGUGGAAAGUGGCGAACGGGUGAGUAACACGUAGGUGACCUGCCUCGUAGCGGGGGACAACCAUUGGAAACGAUGGCUAAUACCGCAUGGUUCUGUCGGUAUGGGAAUGCCGAUAGAUAAAGCGACAACUUCGGUUGUGGCGCUAUGAGAGGGGCCUGCGGUCGAUUAGCUAGUUGGUGGGGUAAAGGCCUACCAAGGCGAUGAUCGAUAGCUGGUCUGAGAGGACGAUCAGCCACAUGGGAACUGAGACACGGUCCCAACUCCUACGGGGGGCAGCAGUGAGGAAUAUUGCACAAUGGGGGAAACCCUGAUGCAGCAACGCCGCGUGGAGGAUGAAGGUUUUUGGAUUGUAAACUCCUUUUCUGAGGGAAGAGCAAGGACGGUACCUCAGGAAUAAGUCACGGCUAACUACGUGCCAGCAGCCGCGGUAACACGUAGGUGGCGAGCGUUAUCCGGAUUUACUGGGCGUAAAGGGCACGCAGGCGGUCAAUCAAGUUCGGCGUGAAAUCUCCCGGCUUAACUGGGAGGGGUCGUUGAAAACUGAAUGACUUGAAUCAGUGAGAGGGGUGCGGAAUUCCCGGUGUAGUGGUGGAAUGCGUAGAUAUCGGGAGGAACACCAGUGGCGAAAGCGGCACCCUGGCACUGUAUUGACGCUGAGGUGCGAAAGCGUGGGUAGCGAACGGGAUUAGAUACCCCGGUAGUCCACGCUGUAACGAUGAAUACUACGUGUAAGUGGUGUAAAGCUAUCUGUGCCAAAGCAACGCGAUAAGUAUUCCGCCUGGGGAGUACGGCGCAAGGCUAAACUCAAGGAAUUGACGGGACCGCAAAGC
rnacentral:rRNA from 1 species